rnacentral:rRNA from 1 species
GAUGAACGCUGGCGGCGUGCCUAAUACAUGCAAGCCGAGCGAAUGGAUUAAGAGCUUGCUCUUAUGAAGUUAGCGGCGGACGGGUGAGUAACACGUGGGUAACCUGCCCAUAAGACUGGGAUAACUCCGGGAAACCGGGGCUAAUACCGGAUAACAUUUUGAACCGCAUGGUUCGAAAUUGAAAGGCGGCUUCGGCUGUCACUUAUGGAUGGACCCGCGUCGCAUUAGCUAGUUGGUGAGGUAACGGCUCACCAAGGCAACGAUGCGUAGCCGACCUGAGAGGGUGAUCGGCCACACUGGGACUGAGACACGGCCCAGACUCCUACGGGAGGCAGCAGUAGGGAAUCUUCCGCAACGGACGAAAGUCUGACGGGGCAACGCCGCGUGAGUGAUGAAGGCUUUCGGGUCGUAAAACUCUGUUGUUAGGGAAGAACAAGUGCUAGUUGAAUAAGCUGGCACCUUGACGGUACCUAACCAGAAAGCCACGGCUAACUACGUGCCAGCCGCCGCAGUAA